UACAGAGGGGGCAAGCGUUGUUCGGAAUUACUGGGCGUAAAGGGCGCGUAGGCGGCCUUCUAAGUCGAACGUGAAAUCCCCGGGCUCAACCCGGGAACUGCGUCCGAUACUGGAAGGUUUGAAUCCGGGAGAGGGAUGUGGAAUUCCAGGUGUAGCGGUGAAAUGCGUAGAUAUCUGGAGGAACACCGGUGGCGAAGGCGACAUCCUGGACCGGUAUUGACGCUGAGGCGCGAAAGCCAGGGGAGCAAAGCGGG
rnacentral:rRNA from 1 species